rnacentral:rRNA from 1 species
CGGGGCCCGGCACAAGCGGUGGAGCAUGUGGUUUUAAUUCGAUGCAACGCGAAGAACCUUACCUGGGCUUGACAUCCCGGGAAUCCCUUGGAAACAAGGGAGUGCCCUUCGGGGAACCUGGAGACAGGUGCUGCAUGGCUGUCGUCAGCUCGUGUCGUGAGAUGUAGGGUUAAGUCCCGCAACGAGCGCAACCCUUGUCUUUAAUUGCCAUCAUUCAGUUGGGCACUCUAAAGAGACUGCCGGUGUCAAACCGGAGGAGGUGGGGAUGACGUCAAGUCCUCAUGGCCUUUAUGACCAGGGCUACACACGUACUACAAUGGCCGGUACAGAGGGCUGCCAACCCGCGAGGGGAGCCAAUCCCAGAAAACCGGUCGUAGUCCGGAUCGUAGUCUGCAACUCGACUGCGUGAAGUCGGAAUCGCUAGUAAUCGCGGAUCAGCUUGCCGCGGUGAGUACGUUCCCGGGUCUU